AAUGGCUCCCGCGGGUUGUGGUCGGAGCGCUGGCGGGGGCGGGAUCGUGACGUUAAGGGCGGUGCCCAGUCAGCGAGGUAGGUCGGGAAGGCAGCCGGCGGCCCCAGAUCUAGAACCGCUGCAGUGCCGAGCUUCCAGGGACGUGAAGCCGGAAAGCCAGGCGCCCUUCUUGACUGCGCCUAGGUGGAACUGGCCCUCCAGCAGCUUGAACGUAGCCUCUUUUCACACUGGUAGUUCCUGAACCUCUUGUGAAAUGAAAGAUGUUCCUCAUUCCAAGCUGAGGACGGAGAAAAGCCGUAAAGCUGACACUGGAGCUAGAAUGACUUGUCAGCCACCUUUGAGCAAGAACUUGCCUGGAGUCCAAAUGUAUGGCUAUUGAAGGAUAGUAAGCAGACAGCACUAAAAGUCAUCCAUUCGUUAUGGAUUUAGUCUUAAGACCCUCAUUUGAGAGAUGCCUUCCCUGUACCUGGAGGAAAGAAACAUCUUUAUCUCUGAAGACACAGGGCCACAGAGAAGAGUCUGAACAAACAGGCUUUACCAAUUUCCCCCAGUUGUUACCGUUAGAUCAGACCUUUGUCCAGUCAUAUCCUUCCACAAGUUGUCCACUCAUCAACCCUAAGCAUAAAAAUGCACAAGUUUCCUUGUUUGUUUGGGUCUUCAUUUCCAAGGGCUCCUAUGUCAUGUUAAACUUUUAAAUAAAUUUGCAUGCUUUUCUCUUGUGAA
rnacentral:lncRNA from 1 species